UCCAAAGGCAGUGCUCUGAUAGGAAAAAAGCCCCACCUUAAAUACAACAAAUUCAGUACCAUGAGUCUAUACUGAAGUGAAGAAAAAAACAAACAAACAGUACAGAUCUUACAACAUAGGAAAGACUAUAUUUCAUUGUUCAGGAAGAUGAGAAUCCAAGAGGACAGCAACAGCAGCAUUGGGGUGCACCUCCCAUUGACAGGACCAUUGUCUAAGAAACACAUCACGUAGCCUGAUUGCACUAACGCUUCCAACGUAUUAACACAAGGAGGUUACCCCGGACCCCCCACUCCUCCUCCUGCUCAUCCACGACAAAUAUCCUGGACCAGCAUUCCAGCUGAUAAAACUUGGGACUAUGCAGUGACCAUUCUAUUCUGAUUGAGACAUCUGCAAUUGUGUCUAUAGGACACAGCAGUUAAGACAUUGCUCAAAGGAAGCUAACAGUGCUUUUAUCCCAGUGCUAGUUGACCUGCAGAAAUGCUUCACCAGCUGGUAAAGACAGUUGCAAUUUCCACACCCUGCCUUGGGGAACAUAGGCAUCCAUGUUGUCACAUCACCAACAAUGUCACAGGUGAAGACUGGGUUUGUCACCCACCAUAGCCUGUAAUAUCACUCUGUCCAUUAAUGGAGAUAGUAACCAGUGUUAGCUAAUUCCCAUCAAGAAGUCGAAGAGAAAUGAUAUCUGCUCCCAUAAAGCUGUAGUAAGGUUAUGUACAUAUUGACUUCCUUUUAAAGCCAUGUUUUAUGGCUCUUUUGGGGGCUUUUUCUCACAGGUUGUCAAGUCAGAAGGUCAUGGGCACUGUGUGUAUGUGUGUGUGUGUGUGAGUGUGUAUAUACAUGUGGUAUACUAUGCUCCAGCCAGUAUUAGAGCACUCUUGGCACACACAGCUUUCCAGUUCUUGUUACAAGGCAUUAUACACGCAUACAUGCAUGCAUACUUACACACAUUCUGUAAUGUAUAUAAGAAAGACACAUACAGGUACCACUGAUAAUCAUCGUGUAAGGGAAAAGGACUAGUGUAAUUUCAAAAAUAAGAUUCUAUUCUAUACAGCAGUGCAUCUUUACACAUUUCAAACUCUAUCAUGCUCUAACAAAGCCACGCUUAAGGGCUCCCUAAUUGAAACGCUUCGGGGAAAUUUCCAGCUACCUCUGGGAUUUCAGUGCUUGCCGAAGUCGUUAUUUGCAGUAAUCCUGGCUAAUCUUAUUAUUCUACACUUGUAAUAUUUGUAUGACUGUAAUUCUAAAUGUAUACCUCCAGUCGUAACAUGUUGAGCAGCUCCAUUAGCUAAACUCGCAAAGUGCUAACUUAAAACGCAAAAUGUUUGGAGAGAUUGUAAGUUUUCAAAGUCUGCAGUACAAAGCUGCAGUCUAAGUGCCAUCGCUGCGAGUGGCGGUUUUGUUACAUCACGUGUGUUGCGCAGUCCAUGCUCAGGUAGGGUUAGGGUUAACUAACAGUGGCAGAGACCUCAAUACAGGUGCGUGCAUGUUCUGUCCACUGCCAUUGUGACACUUACUGGCAUGUGGCAGAUAAUUCAAUUAUACAGCAUGGACUGUGGCGGUGUGCUGAUGCUGGUAAUUUCAGAGUAAUUACCUUCUAAGAAAACUAAGGAAAGUGAAAAAAAAGAUUUAGUAUGAAAAGGAUAGAUGAAACAUGUAUAUUUUAACUAUACUUUCAGAAAUAUACUUCACUACAUAUUACAAUGGAAUGGGUAAUUUUCACGGAAAUCGUAAAAAUCUGUGACAGUCAUGGAAAAAAUACAGCCUUGCUUAUCACUUGUCACCUGAACCCUAUUCAAACAAAUUAAGUGUUCUGCUGUGCCUCCAAGGCCAUAAUGCUAUAAUGUCCAUGUUGAAUCAAACUCAUACACUCUAACACAGUUAUGGGACAUGCUCUGGAGGAUAUGUCCAGAACUAGGAAUUACACUUCAGAUGUUAGGAUUAGAAUUAGCAUAAGGUUCCUAAAAGAAAUUCUAAUCCCCAAACUAUGUUAAGAGCCUUACUUAGCAUAGCAAAAACCCUGCCAAGCAAUAAUUUAGAAACAGGACAUGAUCCUGAAUAUAAAAAUGAGCAAGUCAUGGAGACCUUAGGGUCAGCCUCUAGACUGCAAACCAUUUUAUGUAGAAAUUAAUUCAUGGACAGAAUGAACAUUUUGCAAUACUAGUAAAAAAAAAAAAAAAAAAAAAAGGAGCCCCUAAAUGAAGAGAGUCUGUCCCAGUUUGAUAGAUAAACUCCCACAUUGUAAUGCUUCAUAUUCAUAAACAGCAUUGUGACGCGUUUGAAUUAUUAAAUAAUUCUCUCUGUUUCAUCUAGGUGUAAUGGCAGUGUUGUGUGACAAAUGCAGACAAGCCUGACUCUUUUGCAUUGUCAUUAAGAUGCUUGUUUGCGGUUCGCAGAGCCACUGGUUCAUGCCCAACAUCCGCCCUGACACACAGGCAAACUGCAGUCACUGUGAUUGCUUG